UUCCCGCCGGGCCCUCCGCCUCCCGCGGCCGGCCCUGCGCCCCAAGUUAUCUGUAGGAGGCAAGGUGUCGUCCGCUCGACUCUCACCUCUCUGUCAGGGCGCGGCGACGUCGGCGCGGAGCCGCGGAGGAAGUUCGCAGCGUGCUGCACGGAGCGCAAACGGCACGGAGAUUCCGGGCUCGGGAGGCCCGCGGUCGGGAAUUUCCUAAAGGAAGCACCUCGCAGGGGCCCUCAGGGGGUAGGAGCGAGAGCUCCGGCCUGGAGGACCGGGUUCUAGACAGGAGUUAGAGUCUAGUUUCCUGCGGGACAUCCUACAGAUCGCUUCCCUCAGUGGGCCUUGGUUUCCCCAUCUAUCAGCCGAGCUCGUCACCCCGGGACAGCCACCCUUGAACCUAGCCACCCUGCUGUAAGGAAGCCCACACCACAUGGAGAGAGGACAGGAGGUGCUCUGGCUGACAUCCCCAGCUAGGCUCUCAGCUCACAACCAGCAUCACUCAUCGGAUAAGCGGUGAACUGAGAUUAUUCCACCACCAGUCUUUGAGUCUUCCAGCCGAGGUCGCAGACAAGGAGCAGAGAUAAAGCCAACCUCGCUGUGCCCUGUCUGAAUUUCUCUCCCACAGAAAACAAGAGAUAAGAAGCAAUCAUUGUUGUUUUAAGCCAGUAAGUUUUGGGGUAUUUUGUUAUGCAGCAUUAGAUGAUUAAUUCUGUGAAACGACACUUCCUGAAAUGACAAAUAAUAAAAUGGAUUUGGAGUCUUUA